rnacentral:rRNA from 1 species
CAGCAGCAGCGGUUACACGUAAUUAUUUUCUAAUUUAAUCUGAAUAAACUAAUUUUAUUAUAUUUUAAUACGAAAUGAAAUUCUAAAAAUAAUAAUAAAUAAAUUAUUCCCAAAUAUAGCCAAAAACCAGGAUUAGAUACCCUGCUAUUCUAUUCCAAUAUAAUAUUUCAAUAUAAAACCAAAUAAAUUUGACGGAAUUAACUUUUACAAAGGAUUUUGUUUUGAUCAUCGAAAAUACACGAUUUACCUCACUUAAAACCUAUUUGUAUACCACCGUAAAAGAAAUUCUCUAAUAUAAAUUUCAAAAUAAAAACUUUUAAAAAAUCAGGUCAAGGUGCAAUAUUUUUAAGUCAAAAUGAAAUACAUUAAUAUAUUAUUCAAAUAAUUCACCUGAAUAUAAAGAAAAAUCAGAAUUUGUUAGUAAAUUAAAAUCAUUA